rnacentral:rRNA from 1 species
ACUCAAAUGAAUUGACGGGGGCCCGCACAAGCAGCGGAGCAUGUGGUUUAAUUCGAAGCAACGCGAAGAACCUUACCAGGCCUUGACAUCGUGUGCAAUCCCAAGAGAUUGGGAGUUCUUCGGACACACAGACAGGUGGUGCAUGGUUGUCGUCAGCUCGUGUCGUGAGAUGUUGGGUUAAGUCCCGCAACGAGCGCAACCCUUACGGUCAGUUACCAGCAUGUAAAGAUGGGGACUCUGACAGGACAGCCGGGGUCAACCCGGAGGAAGGUGGGGACGACGUCAAAUCAUCAUGCCCCUUACGGCCUGGGCUACACACGUGCUACAAUGGCCGAAACAAAGAGAAGCGAGCCCGCGAGGGGGAGCAAAACUCAAAAAAACGGUCCCAGUUCGGAUCGUGGGCUGCAACCCGCCCACGUGAAGUCGGAGUUGCUAGUAAUCGCGAAUCAGCAUGUCGCGGUGAAUACUGUUCCCGGGCCUUGUACACACCGCCCGU